rnacentral:rRNA from 1 species
CCAGUGAACAAUUAAACGGCCGCGGUACCCUAACCGUGCAAAGGUAGCAUAAUCAUUUGUCUACUAAUUAUAGACCUGUAUGAAAGGCAAAAUGAGGGCCUAACUGUCUCUUAUAGCGAAUCAAUUAAACUGAUCUCCUAGUAAAAAAGCUAGAAUUUCUCCAUAAGACCAGAAGACCCUGUGAAGCUUAAACUAAACUAUUAAAUCACAUAAUAACUACUUUCGGUUGGGGCGACCUUGGAAAAAAAAAGAACUUCCAACAACCAUGACUAUUCAUCAACCACCCUAGGCCUACAAGCCAAUUAACGACCCAGCACAGCUGAUCAAUGAACCAAGUUACUCCAGGGAUAACAGCGCAAUCCUCUUCAAGAGCCCAUAUCAAAAAGAGGGUUUACGACCUCGAUGUUGGAUCAGGACAUCCUAA